UUUGCGGUCAUGUUUACGUUUGCUGUCUCGUGUGCUGUCAAGAGUAAUAGGACAAAAAUCUGUGGCAUCCGGAGCAGCGUGAGAGACGGGAGUACGUUCUCCCAUCUGGUGAGGUGAAGUACCUUGAUCCCUCGGUUUGUCCUGGUGACAUCGUUAAAGGAGGUCCCAGCCACAUCCUUUCAUGUGAGGUUUCCAUAGAUCCGGAGAUCCUUCCCCAGAGUGAGCUGGAUGGCGUGCGACAUUGAAUCUACUGAUACUGGUGAAAGAUUUGUUGAUUUUCCCCUUCCCCACGGACUGUGUGGUAGGACAGAACAAAUACACCCCAAUACACCAACACUGAUCAGACACAAUUGACAAAAGGGCCCCAACAAUAACUUUAGGACAGAGGGUUUUGUUUUUUGCCGGCUUUAUUAUUUUAGUUAUUUAGUUAUUGUUAUCUUUCAUCAAAUGUUUUGUGUAACAUAGCUGUUGUAAAUUCUGUGUGUUAAUGCUUCAAGUGGCCACACAAAAACGCCAACCCGUGUUUCCUGUGUCUUUUGGACUUUUAAAAAUUAAGGGCUCGUACCUUGUAAUCUUUCGUUAUUGGUCCAUUUAUUAGUAUUGAUCAUCAUUUACCUGUGCUCAGUUAUUACAUCAUAACAAAAGGGUUACAUACUGGUGAAAUUUGAAUGAAGUAGCUGGUGUUUGACCAGUAGAUAAGGCAGUAGAUUGGUUAACUUUUUGAAAUUCCUUAUGAUAAUGAAUUAUUUCCACCACAAAGAUGAUUCUGUUCGUGCUAAAGUUUAGUGUUGAGGCAUCAACAGUGAUUGUAGUCUAUUUACAGUAUCAAUGUUAUCAGUAACUAGAGACAUGCAGCCACAUAGAUCUCAAACCCUUCAAUGUAUACAGUAAUGACUUUCUUACUGUUAUUUGAGAAAUGUUUCAUUUCAUUAUAUCUGCAAUCUAUUUCUCUCCCUGGGGGCCUUCUUCGGCCAACAUUUCUAUAACGUGACUAUUUUAAGCAAUAAAAACAUAAUGUUUACUAUGGCUGACAAAAUCUUGCCAAUCAAAUGCAGCCAGUUGAGUCACAUGACAAGUGUUGUCAUGUGACUGCGUGCCGCGGCACCAGCUGUUGUGAUGGCUCGCUGGUUGCAACUGCAGGCUUUCAGCAGUGCUGUCACUAAAUAUACCAAACUCCU